AUCUCUGUGGAGACAACUGAUAAAUUUGAAACGGUAUAGAGAAGAUUAGCAUGCCCCUUACGCAAGGAUGACAUGCAUAAAUCGAGAAAUGAUCCAAUUUUUU